ensembl:lncRNA
UGCUGUCUGUGUACCCAGCAAUAUCCUCCAGUGCAGGGCUGAGUUUUGGUCUGUGCUUGAAACAAACACCAUAGUGAGGGGAACUGUAGAGUCUGAAGUGUAAGACCCACUGUGCAAAUGGGAUUUGUCACUAUGAGCACUGUGAUGAAAGCACCCUGGAGAAACUGACUCUUGAGAAAUGGUUUUUGCAUGUCCAAGCGGGAAAGGGACAGGUGGGAUGGCAAAUGGGAGCCCAAGGGAAGGGGGUCCCCUUGGAAAAGGGGUGCCCAGCACUCACACUGGACUUCUCCGUAGUCAGUGGCUUGCACCUGCUGGCUGGGAACGUGCUGCUGCCUGUGGAUUAAGGGAAAAUGGAUUUGGGGUGGAUGUUUGCUGCAGGGGGCCAGGACUGUUAUUCAUUUGGAUGAAGCCUCCUUGCAUCAGGCACUGCAUUCACUCCAACCCCACGGCAAUCCCUCAUCCUCCAGGCAUCCACGUGCUAUCAGUAAUGUUACCAUGAGGAAAUCCUUCCUUCUCCAACACCAUGGCAGUCCCUUCCUGUUAUGGGGGAACUCACAGAUAAUGCUGCCCUGCAAAAGGAGUUCCCCAAGUUCCCAAAUGCUCUCAAUCGUCCCCUCCCAGCCUUACUUCUCACCUUCGGCAUCUCUCCCGGCAGGCACCUGUAAGAAAAACAGUCUCACAUCAAAGCUGUGGCAGCCUCAUGGAUCCCCCACAGUCCCCUCAAGUCCUCACCUUUCCUAAUGGUCCAGAAGGUGGCUGCAGACAGCAGGAGGGUGACAGUAACUGAUAGCACAUGAAUGACUGUGAGGUUCAGAGGAGUGUUGGUGUCUGGGGACACAGAGGGUGAUGGGGUCAGAUGGGAGUGACGCAGAAGUUGGGGUGUAACAGCGCCAUAGCGAUGAGAUGAUAAAAGAGGAGAGGGAUAGGGAAAAGGUGAAGGGAUGGGGUCAGUAGGAGCAAAGGAGAGUCCCUCACCUGCAG